rnacentral:rRNA from 1 species
AUUGAACGCUGGCGGCAUGCUUUACACAUGCAAGUCGUACGGCAGCGCGGGCUUCGGCCUGGCGGCGAGUGGCGAACGGGUGAGUAAUGCAUCGGAACGUGCCCAGUAGUGGGGGAUAGCCCGGCGAAAGCCGGAUUAAUACCGCAUACGACCUGAGGGUGAAAGCGGGGGACCGAAAGGCCUCGCGCUAUUGGAGCGGCCGAUGUCGGAUUAGCUAGUUGGUGGGGUAAAGGCUUACCAAGGCGACGAUCCGUAGCUGGUCUGAGAGGACGACCAGCCACACUGGGACUGAGACACGGCCCAGACUCCUACGGGAGGCAGCAGUGGGGAAUUUUGGACAAUGGGGGCAGCCCUGAUCCAGCCAUGCCGCGUGCGGGAAGAAGGCCUUCGGGUUGUAAACCGCUUUUGUUCGGGAAGAAAUCCUCUGGGCUAAUACCCCGGGGGGAUGACGGUACCGGAAGAAUAAGCACCGGCUAACUACGU